GCCGAAAACACGUCGCGUGAUUUGCACAACCCCAAAUAUAAUCUUCAAUUUUGGAAUAAAUUAGUGAUGAUAGUAAUGUUGCUUCCAAAAUAUAGUAAGUUGAAAGUAUAAUACUAAGUUAAGUUAAAUACGCGAAAGAGCGCAUUCCUAUAAAAACAAGAAAAAAAUGUACUCUUGAUGCCAAUGUCAAAAAUAUUACAAGUAGGAAAGCGUUAUAUGAAAUAGCGCGGAACAACGCACCAAUCAAAAUUAUUUAUUGUAGUAUUUCCACAGAAUAAAUAAUAGUACUAGGUACAAAAGACUCACUCUCUAACAAAACGCGUCUGUUACGAUCAGGACAGGUAUGGCCGCUAGGUGGCGACAGCGCCACGCGCGGCUUAUGGCUAGUCACCAAAAUUGGUGUGGAACGGAUGUACUUUUAGCUACCUGUAGCAAAGCGACGAAAUCGCGGAGUGAGCGACGCCUGGUAUUUCAGUAAAAUUUGCACAAGGGGGUUUUGUUUAAAUUUUCUUCAGAAUACAUCAUAUAUUACAAACAGAAACAGUGAAACGUUUAUUAUUAUAAAGCAAAUACUAACAGCACAAAAUACUAAUCAAUUGUUAUAGAUAUAAUACUUUAAAUAUGUUGUUGGCUUUUAGUAGUCUAUUAAGUGUUUUGAUUGAUUGGUUUGUCCAUUAAUUGUAAUUGCUAUUUAAUAUUUAAUUUAAGUCGGUUGUUGGUGAUUGUAUUCGUAUAUAUAUGUAAGCCUGUUAGGCCAAAUGGAUUUGAGGGAAAUUAUAACCUUUGAAUUAGAUGUGAUUUAAAAUAUUCGUCUGCUAGAUAUAGACAUAAUAUUAUACCUAUUUUAGAUGGAAUUAGUCAUUGUACCUAACCUUUAGGUAAAGUAUUGUGGGCUUUUUUAUUGAAGUAGAUAUGAAUGUAUUAUUUCUUUUUCAAAUUUUAUAUAAUAAAAUUAAUAAACAUAUAAUAUCCGCUCUAAGGUACAGUCAGAAUCAUCCUUUUUUAUAUGGUAACAAAUAUGUGUUACGACUUACGAUAUAUUUGGCCACUUUGAUUGUCACUUUUUGUGACGUUUUCAACCAAACGGUACUACAUUGUCGUUUGUCGAUAAGGUUGAUUUGAUUCAAUCUUUAUGGAAAUAGCACCUUACUGGAUGGCACAUUUGAUGCUGACUGCACCUACGAUCCUCAAAAGAACAAACCACCAUAGUAUAUUGAAUAGGAGGCCGUAAUAUUGAACAAGAGGAAAAUAUUUUCAUGGUCAGCUACUUAAGUUGCCACUAUCCUUGAGAGCUCAAUAAUUUCAUCUACGUAACUUGUCUUCGGCCGUAGAAGCUCUGGCCAAUGUGAUGUUAUGUAAAUAUGUGAUGUUAUUAUGAUACACGAAUGUAUUUUGAAAUUCUUGCAUAAAUUGUGAAUAAACCAUUGACAGAUAUCUAGGGACUGGCCUUACGGGCAAUAAUAAUGAGGCAUGACAGGGGCCAGUACAAUGGUGUGACACCGCUACAACGUGAUUGGUUGAUGCGUUCGCAUCACGCGCGCUAUUGGUCGCAAUUAGUUGUGUUAGACUGCACGAUUGGCUGGAAUUAGUGAGUGACACCGCUGAACUAGUAACAUUUUUAGUGCCCGUAAGGUCAGUCCUUAGAUAUAUAAGUCAAUGGAAUAAACAACAUGUCUAGGCGUUACCAGUGGACAAUGUAUCAGUAAAAACUAAACACAUACCGUGAGUAGCCAGCCUAGUCAACUGUUAUGUAAUGAUUAUGUAUUUCUGUUGUAUGCCAAAGAUCAGUUCGGGAAUACUUUAUUCAUUGUUGAGAAUGAUCACAGCUUUAUAUGUUGUCUGAUAACCCCAAAAUAGUCUCCUGUGGGUGAGGCCGUAACCCAAGUAUUCAUACUAAAAUCUGAUACCUACUGCAGGCGUAGCCUCCUAAGGCCCAGCCAUACAAAUUAAAAACGCAAAAUUUACCACAGAAAUUUGAACCUACAAUGUAGGAUAUAGAGUUGAUUUUGCGUUGUUCAAAAAACUGAACGAAACAAAACAAAAGCAACUCUGUUCCAAUCGAAUAUGAUUUAAAUUUCAUUGAACUGAAUAAGUACUAACUAUAGGUUGGACCUUGGGCCUUAGGAGGGCAUUAUGGAUGGCUUUAUCCACGUCACAAAAUAACUGUCACUUUUUAACACGCCGCGAUUGAAAAUGACGGACGUCGUUUUAUCACGCUGUCACGUAGACAACAACGACCAUCAUAUACUGGACUCCGUAUGGAAACUAUAACCAAGUAUCCCAUAAGUAUUCCGUGAACAAAGUUUUGUACGGAACACUAAAAAUGUCUCAAUCGAUUCGAUAUUGUAUAGCCGUAUAGGUACGGAUUCGCACGCCGCUCCGGUGUGUGAAAGAGACAGUGCUCUGCACGUGUGUCCCCUUCGCACAAGGGGGCGGCGGGCGAAUUCCGAUUUUGAUUCUAACCGCGUAAGAGUCGAUUUCACAGAGUCUUACAGAUUUUUUUCCUAUUGUAAUAGUUUACGCAAAUAACUUAUUUUCAUACAGUAGAAUGUUUUCUGGUAUAUGAAUAAUUAAAAUACACUACGUUAUGUUUGUGCUUCACACUUUGUACCCUGCACUUAAAUUGUGUCGCUUAAAACGAAAUCAUAAGUAAUAAUGUGUUAAAAUGUACCGUCGGUAUUGGACGUUGAAUAAUUUCUAUAUAAAAUGAUCUGAAUAUUUUUGUUACGUGAAAAAUAGUAUGAAAUAAAAUUAUGAAUAAUAA